UUCUUCAUUUAUUUACUUAUUCCUUUAUUCAUUCAAUAGCCAUUUAUUGAUCAACAACUAUGUGCCAGACUUGUGCUAGAUCUUGAGGAUAUAUCACUGAGAAAGACAGACUUACAUUCUACCAGGGUAGACAGAGACAAAAAAUCAUGUCAUCAAAUAAAUCAACAAGAAAAUGUGACUAAAAAAUUCUUGAAGGAAGGAGCCAUCCAUCACUGUAUCAUCAGCCACUAUCACAAUGACUGGCACCUGUGGACUAUUUUGACUUGUAUCUUCAUCAUGCCAAGCAACUUAAGAAGCAAAAAACCAGGAUGGUGACACUAAACACUGCAACCACAGAAUUCAAGAGCAAGCUGUUUUCUUUGAUGGUGUUUGUCCUUCCAGUGCACAAGAGCAUAGUUCAAAACAUUCUACAAAUAACUGCCUCUUCACGUAGCUGACCGGGAUUUGUAGUUGCCCCAUAUGCAUUGAUGCUUAUCUGAUAAUCAGAUAUUGUGCCUCGUUGACUGCCCUGUUCCCACAGUUUACUUAUUGAAUUCAUCAUCAGUAUCUUCAGCAGGGAAAAUCAAGACAAUGAUUGUUAAGCUUGAGGAAGUAUUUACGAUUUUUUUAAAUUAUUAGCUAACACUUGGGAUUAAACUAUAGCCAAGGGGACCAGCAGCACACUACAAUUAAUAGAAGAUUAGUAAUAAAAUGGUAAAUGCAAAAAUGGUAACUAAAAUUCUGAAAUCAUCCAUGUUUGAAGAGUGCUGAUCCUUAAGGGUAAAUGGAGGACACCUCCCAUUCUCCCAACUAAUGAUGUGCUUGGCUUUGUAACUUGUUUUGGUCGAUGAGAUGUGAGCCAAAGUGACAAGCAUGCCAGUUCCAGGCCAAGACCUCAAGAGAGUACAACGGAGUUUUCCAGAGGCUACAUGACCUGUGUUAUUGCAACAGAGUGAAUGCAGAAGCAGACCUGAGAAUCUUUCUGUCUUCUAUUAAGCCAGAUAUUAAAGAAAUUUGCAAAAAUGUAAACUGAUUUUUUUUUUGUAUUUUGGAAAAUACAGCUAUUUUUCAAGAAAAGUGUUAUUUGGUGUUAUAUAUCAACAUGUAAAGGGUUCAUUAUUAUUUUUAAAUGAAUAAAUGGUUUUAUAAUA